UACGUUCCCGGGUCUUGUACACACCGCCCGUCACACCAUGGGAGUUGGUUCUGCCUGAAGUCGUCCCUGAAAAGGCGCCCACGGCAGGGUCAAUGACUGGGGUG
rnacentral:rRNA from 1 species